CUGCCAGCAGCGGUGACAGUGAGGCCACCUAGGGAGGCAGUUUGGGAGCCACAGGAAGUGCCAUUUCUAAAAAGCCCCCCCGCCUGGGGAGGGGCCUCUGUAUCAGCCUCCAUAUGGGUCUGGCUUCUGCUCAGAAAUGCCCUGAGAUGAGUGCUCUGGAAAGAUCUGGAACCCUGGAGCCCGGGGAUGAGGACCCCACACUAUGGGUGGGGAAGCAAGACAGUGGCGGCAGGGUGUGUGCUGAGGCCGCAGGGAGAGAGGCAGAUGUGGGCUGCCCCCCCACAGCCCGCCUUCGGCUCACACUGGAAAUCCAUUCACACUGGCUUCUGCGGCCUGCAAACCACACUCACCCUGGCUCCUGCCGGAACCCUGAUGCGUCCCAUAUUUCUGGUCGGACAGCCAGGAAAACUCAGUCUCCUCCUUGUGAUCGCCAAUCCGUUUCCCGUUGGAGGAGUUGACUUUGAACAAAGACCCCUUUGUGAGUGGCUUUGGGGCAGGGAGAUGGGAGAACAUCGCAUAAGUAAUAUGCGAAACGGCGACCCCGAUCAUUUUUUGUU